rnacentral:rRNA from 1 species
GGGUGCGAUCAUACCAGCACUAAUGCACCGGAUCCCAUCAGAACUCCGAAGUUAAACGUGCUUGGGCGAGAGUAGUACUAAGAUGGGUGACAUCUUGGGAAGUCCUCGUGUUGCACCCC